UCAGUCGGCUGGACGGCCGCCCUCGCGUUCCUGGUUUCGCAUGGGAGGAAAGUCCGGGCUCCACGGAAACACGGUGCCGGGUAACGCCCGGCGGGGGUGACCCCAGGGAAAGUGCAACAGAGAACAGACCGCCCGACGUUCGCGCCGGGCAAGGGUGAAACGGUGGGGCAAGAGCCCACCGCGCGACCGGCAACGGAAGCGGCACGGUAAACCCCACCGGGAGCAAGACCGAAUAGGGACGCCGACGCAUCGGUUCUUCGGAACGGAAGCAGGCCCGUUUCCGGGCUGCGGUGUCCGGGUUGGUUGCAACGAGGCGCGCCCGCAAGGGCCGUCCCAGAUGAAUGGCCGUCGAUCGCCUUCCGCUUCGGCAGAGGCGGGGACAGAACCCGGCUUACAGGCCGACUGACAUA
rnacentral:RNase_P_RNA from 1 species